GAUCCUGGCUCAGGAUGAACGCUAGCUACAGGCUUAACACAUGCAAGUCGAGGGGCAGCAUUUUAGUUUGCUUCCAAACUGAAGAUGGCGACCGGCGCACGGGUGAGUAACACGUAUCCAACCUGCCGAUAACUCCGGAAUAGCCUUUCGAAAGAAAGAUUAAUACCGGAUAGUAUACGAAUAUCGCAUGAUAUUUUUAUUAAAGAAUUUCGGUUAUCGAUGGGGAUGCGUUCCAUUAGUUUGUUGGCGGGGUAACGGCCCACCAAGCCUACGAUGGAUAGGGGUUCUGAGAGGAAGGUCCCCCACAUUGGAACUGAGACACGGUCCAAACUCCUACGGGAGGCAGCAGUGAGGAAUAUUGGUCAAUGGGCGAGAGCCUGAACCAGCCAAGUAGCGUGAAGGAUGAAGGCUCUAUGGGUCGUAAACUUCUUUUAUAUGGGAAUAAAGUUUUCCACGUGUGGAAUUUUGUAUGUACCAUAUGAAUAAGGAUCGGCUAACUCCGUGCCAGCAGCCGCGGUAAUACGGAGGAUCCGAGCGUUAUCCGGAUUUAUUGGGUUUAAAGGGAGCGUAGGUGGAUUGUUAAGUCAGUUGUGAAAGUUUGCGGCUCAACCGUAAAAUUGCAGUUGAAACUGGCAGUCUUGAGUACAGUAGAGGUGGGCGGAAUUCGUGGUGUAGCGGUGAAAUGCUUAGAUAUCACGAAGAACUCCGAUUGCGAAGGCAGCUCACUAGACUGUCACUGACACUGAUGCUCGAAAGUGUGGGUAUCAAACAGGAUUAGAUACCCUGGUAGUCCACACAGUAAACGAUGAAUACUCGCUGUUUGCGAUAUACAGUAAGCGGCCAAGCGAAAGCAUUAAGUAUUCCACCUGGGGAGUACGCCGGCAACGGUGAAACUCAAAGGAAUUGACGGGGGCCCGCACAAGCGGAGGAACAUGUGGUUUAAUUCGAUGAUACGCGAGGAACCUUACCCGGGCUUAAAUUGCAACAGAAUAUAUUGGAAACAGUAUAGCCGUAAGGCUGUUGUGAAGGUGCUGCAUGGUUGUCGUCAGCUCGUGCCGUGAGGUGUCGGCUUAAGUGCCAUAACGAGCGCAACCCUUAUCUUUAGUUACUAACAGGUCAUGCUGAGGACUCUAGAGAGACUGCCGUCGUAAGAUGUGAGGAAGGUGGGGAUGACGUCAAAUCAGUCACGGCCCUUACGUCCGGGGCUACACACGUGUUACAAUGGGGGGUACAGAAGGCGGCUACCUGGUGACAGGAUGCUAAUCCCAAAAACCUCUCUCAGUUCGGAUCGAAGUCUGCAACCCGACUUCGUGAAGCUGGAUUCGCUAGUAAUCGCGCAUCAGCCAUGGCGCGGUGAAUACGUUCCCGGGCCUUGUACACACCGCCCGUCAAGCCAUGAAAGCCGGGGGUACCUGAAGUACGUAACCGCAAGGAGCGUCCUAGGUAAAACUGGUAAUUGGGGCUAAGUCGUAACA
rnacentral:rRNA from 1 species